rnacentral:rRNA from 1 species
UACGUAGGCAGCAAGCGUUGUUCGGAGUUACUGGGCGUAAAGGGUGUGUAGGCGGUUGCUUAAGUUUGGUGUGAAAUCUCCCGGCUCAACUGGGAGGGUGCGCCGAAUACUGAGUGACUCGAGUGCGGGAGAGGAGAGUGGAAUUCCUGGUGUAGCGGUGAAAUGCGUAGAUAUCAGGAGGAACACCGGCGGUGUAGACGGCUCUCUGGACCGUAACUGACGCUGAGACACGAAAGCGUGGGUAGCAAACAGG